UCCUACCCCCACCAACUCGGCCAUCUUCCCCUUCAUUCUCUCUAUCUCUUCCAUUUGUUCCCCACUGCUCCAUCCAUCUCCACCGCCACCCAUGGAUUCCUCGCCGCGCCACCUCCUCCGCAUCUCUUCCCCGAGACAUCUGAUGAUGCCGUGCCACAACCAAUGAAGGCACUCAAGGAUCUAGUAGACCUUGAUGUGGCGAAAGCCGAAAGGAAGGGGGUUGGAUCGGAGGCGUGCGACUGAUGCCAGAAAUUCUGAUCGAGUCAGAUGAUCAUAUUACUAGUAUAGCUGGCUAAACAGACGAACAGUACAGUGUUUUCGCGUCCAUGAUCUUUGAUCGAUGAGAGCAAUAGCAUCAUCGUGUUCUUCGCCGGCACGUGGUAAUGGGCAGAAUCUCCUGAAAAAGUUGCCAUGCUCAUGCACAGGUAAGAAUUGGAUUGAAAGGAAUUCACAGUGGAAAAGAGUGUUUUUGAGCCAUGUGAUGUGUUUGUUCUCCCCUUUCCAGCUUGGUUUACACCUGUGGUGAAUGAAUGUUCGAUAGCAGUAUUACCAUCAUGCAAGUUUCAUUGAAAGAAAUCACCCAAGAACCCGGACAGAACAUUCAUAAUGCUCAAGAACAGCCCUGGUGCCUGAAUUCUUGAUUCAUACGCCUAUUUGAAGUUUUUCGGAUUCUCGUAGAAUUUAAGUUGUUUGCUUUGAAAGGCCUGAUGGAUCCUAAAAUGUCAGACCGAAUAACUCUUUCAUCAUACUACUACUAGUACAUGAAAAUAUACGAGUUGUUUUAACGAG
rnacentral:lncRNA from 1 species